UGGGUCACUGUGGACUUGAUUAGCAACAUUCAGAAUGAGAUUCUGGGCAUCCAGAACACCUCCCGAAAGCAGGUGGAAGACAUCACUGAUGCGAAUUCCAGUCUGGAAGAAACCACAGAGCCACCUGCAGAUGGCAAACAUCUGCAGGAGCAUGAAGUGGGCCAAAUGCCAGCCACUGAGGAGCUUCCACAGGAAGCACAGGAGUCCCCCAGCCUCGCAUGUGAAGAC